CAAGGCUUGACAUAUACCGCAAAGCAUCAGAGAUGGUGCCCCCCUUGUGGUCGGUAUCCAGGUGGUGCAUGGCUGUCGUCAGCUCGUGUCGUGAGAUGUUGGGUUAAGUCCCGCAACGAGCGCAACCCUUGUUCUGUGUUGCCAGCAUGCCCUUCGGGGUGAUGGGGACUCACAGGAGACUGCCGGGGUCAACUCGGAGGAAGGUGGGGACGACGUCAAGUCAUCAUGCCCCUUAUGUCUUGGGCUGCACACGUGCUACAAUGGCCGGUACAAUGAGCUGCGAUGCCGCGAGGCGGAGCGAAUCUCAAAAAGCCGGUCUCAGUUCGGAUUGGGGUCUGCAACUCGACCCCAUGAAGUCGGAGUUGCUAGUAAUCGCAGAUCAGCAUUGCUGCGGUGAAUACGUUCCCGGGCU
rnacentral:rRNA from 1 species